AUCUGAUCAAGUUUUAAUAACACUGCAGGAAACUGCCACUAAUGAUGGAAUAACAUUAAAACAAGGAAAACUGUACAAAUCAUGGAUCAGAGUUUUCCAACAGAUACAGCCAUGCAUAGUGUGGACAUCAGAAACAUAUUUUAAUAAAUAACAUAUUUUAAUAAAUAAAACAGUUUCAGUACUGAACUCCAGCUAAGCAACAGGAGAACUGCUCAGGACAACAGUAACAAAAAAAUGCAAAAAUAGCACACCAUACCCACACUGUCAGCUAGAAAGAAGCAGAUAAAUUCUGCAUAUGAAUAAGUAAAUAAAUACAUAAACACCUGAACGUUUUGUCAUUAAAAACCUGAAUAUUUUUCCGGCUUGGACAAUGUGGAGAAAUACUGAGAACGGAUCCUUGUCAGGAUAUUUUAUGGAUCGAAACAUCUUUGGAUAAAGGGGGAACUAAAAUGUACAGAAACCUCAACAACUCGGGAAAAAAAAACAGCGACUUGAUGCAGAAGAAAAAACAGGAACGCUGUAAAUCCGAUAAUAACCCUCGAGUUCUUGAACACUGCAUCAAAAAGCUUCAAACGAGGUUGUUUACACUCACACACCGCUCACCCUUGAUUGCAUGUCCAAUGUUCACUUAUAGGGGCGGGGCCGGUGCAGGUGUUUGGUCUUGGCUCUCUUUGAAAGUCCAACCCGGAUUGGCCGUGCACAUGUUUUCAGCGGUUCUAGUCUCCUGGGCUGCUCAGGUGCUCCUGCACACAUCACACACAUUAAACACAUCCUUGAGUCACUCAGGUAUAUUUGGUGACUCAUGUGACUUCUGUCUCAGAGAGUGACACUACAUGCAGUCCAUUUCCUACUAAACAUUCUGCUCUCUAUAUUUUUAAAAGUUCAAUCACUCCUAACCAGCUAUUCCUGCACCUUCCUGUUUCUCUAUGGCUCCAGAGACGAGUCAACAAGACAUUUAAAGUUCUCUGCCCGUGUUAGCUGGCACCAGAAAUACUAACCAGUAAAACAAAUAGUAUUUGAUUAACAUACAAAGACAUUUACCUGUAGGUGUUACUA
ensembl:lncRNA